AAAUGCAGAUUGUUCCAGGUACUGCUUACAAACUGGGAUCUGUGGAAGGAAUAAUGCUGAAAAUAAACAUAUAACAUCAUAUCAAGUUCAUAAGAAAAUCCUUUACUAUCUUGAUCUAUGACUUUUUGUAGUGUCUCUGCCUAGGUUGGAUAAAAGAGGAAGGGAAUGCAAAGUAUAUUUGAUGAGAUGUGGAUCCCGCUACUAUACAAAAUUACAUUUAUUUAAUUAUUAAAAGUUGUCGAGGCAUGCCUUAUUUCUGUUUUUUUUUUUUCUUACAAAUUAACAGUAUUAAAGAUUUCAGGUUAUUGAGUCGGGGGAAGAAAUAAGAGGAAGAGGAAGGAAGGGAAGAUUGAACAAGAGAAGCUAGUGAGCAUGUUGCAUGUUGAGGUCUAGAUACAAUCAAUAUACUGGUCUUCAUCUUCAGAGAGGACUUCUUGUCCUCUGGUUGAGAAUAUCACAUGGGAGCCAACAACACAGAACACAGAAUCUACAGGCCUGUGUAACUAUAAUAUCCUUGAUGCUGAUGGUGAUCUUCUCAAUGAGAGGAUGUCCUUUGACUAUGUCACGUUUAAUGAAUACAGAAAACUCUUGAUAGGAGUCCAGGCAGUGAGAAACCAAGUUGAUGAAAACCAGCUGAUCAUUUUACACUUCAUCACCUCUGAUAAUCUUCUCCACUUUUAUCUAAAAUGUGUGAAGAGAGAUCACUCUUCACACCAUUUUCAUGUGCACCUUGUUUGGACCACUCUAUAGUUGCAUUUCCUGAUAAACAUGGACAAGACCUGGACAAAAAUGUUGGAAAUUAUGCUUGUAAAGGAAAGAUGAAUGUGGAAGCUGGCUGUUCAUUGUCAUUGGUUUCCUUAUAUCCUGGAAGGGUGCAAUUUAAAGGUGUGGUUCAGCCUUAAGUUAAUUUUUGUAUGUUAUAGAAUGGUCAGUUAUAAGCAACUU